rnacentral:tRNA from 1 species
AAGACUUUAAGUUAUACCUAAACUAUUAACCUUCAAAGUUUUUUAAAUAAAAAUUUUUAUAGGUCUUA